GAUGAAGAACGUAGCGAAAUGCGAUAAGUAAUGUGAAUUGCAGAAUUCAGUGAAUCAUCGAAUCUUUGAACGCACAUUGCGCCCCUUGGUAUUCCGAGGGGCAUGCCUGUUCGAGCGUCAUUAUAACCCCUCAAGCUCAGCUUGGUGUUAGGGCCUGCUGCACUGGCAGCCCUUAAAAUCAGUGGCGGCGCCAUCUGGCUCUAAGCGUAGUAAUUCUUCUCGCUAUGGAGUCCUGGUGGAUGCUUGCCAUCAACCCCCAAUUUUUCUAUGGUUGACCUCGGAUCAGGUAGGGAUACCCGCUGAACUUAAGCAUAUCAAUAAGCGGAGGA
rnacentral:misc_RNA from 1 species